rnacentral:rRNA from 1 species
UACAGGAGGGUCGAGCGUUAAUCGGAAUUAUGACGUGGGCGUAAAGAGCGCGCAGGCGGUCGUUCAAGAUCGGCGUCGGUGAAAGCCCCCCGGCUCAACUGGGGAGGGUCAUUCGAUACUGAUCGACUCGAAGGCAGGAGAGGGUAAGUGGAAUUCCCGGUGUAGUGGUGAAAUGCGUAGAUAUCGGGAGGAACACCCGCAGCGAAGGCGGCCGGCUGGGCCAACCCUGACGGCUGAGCGCGAAGGCUCGGGGAGCGAACGGG